GCCCGAGUUGUAAUUUGUAGAGGAUGCUUCGGGUGCGGUCUCGGCGUAAGUCCCUUGGAACAGGGUGUCAGAGAGGGUGAGAAUCCCGUCUUUCGCCGUUGGUUCCGCGCCCGUGUGAAGCUCCUUCGACGAGUCGAGUUGUUUGGGAAUGCAGCUCUAAGUGGGUGGUAAAUUUCAUCUAAAGCUAAAUAUUGGCCGGAGACCGAUAGCGCACAAGUAGAGUGAUCGAAAGGUUAAAAGCACCUUGAAAAGGGAGUGAAACAGUACGUGAAAUUGUUGAAAGGGAAGCGCUUGCGGUCAGACUUAGGGGGAUUUGUUUGGUAGACGCUUGCCGUCUAUUUACUCAAUUCCUCCUAGGCCAGCAUCGGUUUCUGUGGCCGUCAAAGGCCCCUGGAAUGUAUCGUCUUUCGGGACGUCUUAUAGCCAGGGGUGCAAUGCGGCCUAUAGGGACCGAGGAACGCGCUCGGCUC
rnacentral:sRNA from 1 species